CGCGGGGCCGAGCGGGGCGUGAGGCCUUCCCGAGAGGACGGCGUCAAACUGCUCGCACGGCUUUAAUUGCCGGUUUGUUAUUUUAAAAAGGGAACUGGGUUUCUCGAACGUGUGCUUUUGAGACAUGGACUUGGCUCCCUGACCUCCCUCUGCGUGGAUUCUGUGAUUGCUGACCAGCUCCUGGGAAUGGGCCAAUUAUAAGCUUUAGAAAGUCACCCAGAGCAGCAGCUCUUUUGUCCUGGCAGUUCCCUCAUUUGACACCCAUACAUGGUCCAAGUGUGGGAAUUGAAGCCACCAGUAAAGAACUAGGAGGCAAAUAAAGGCAUUAUCCACUUGGACAAGAAAGAAAUCUGUGACACCAGUGAAAUAAACUGUCUUGUAGGAGAUUUGUCUUCACAUUGCUUACAAAGAAGAUAAAGAAAAAGGGAAAUUGUAUGUACCUUUCCCCUCCAUUAUAUCAUCACUCCAUUUGCCAGACCCAGCAAAACAAAUUUCUGGAGAUUUCAAGAUUUUAAAAGGAUCUUCUAGUACAAGUAGAGGUUAUGAAAUCAACUGUGCUUUUUAGGAGUUGCUGAGUUUCUUUAUGCACUUUUUAAGAUAAUGAUCAGCUGGUUUAACUAUAGCUUCUUUUUGCAGUGCAUUUAAUCAGUUAAUCACUAUUAGCCUUGAAAACAUAGGAUGGUUUAAAUAAUGGUCUUAGAAGCAAGUAAAAUGGAGAACUGCAUGAUUAUUCUGUAACUAGUUUGAUCUCAGCUUCCAUAAAAAUUUAAAACUUUCAAGCUGCCUUCAAAUAUGUUAAAUUAUGUGCUUAAAUUAUGAUCUAAGGGGACUUUUUUGUUUACUAGUCUCCAGGAUAUUUGGAAAAUGGAUUCCAAAGGGGAAAGUAAUCAUUUUUGUACAUAUUAUACACCUACUAUUCGCUACAUUUGGCACCUAUCUACUUGUCAGACCAAAUAAAUCUAAUUCCCUAACGCACAUGUAAAAACCUAUGUAAGUGCUUUCUAAUAUUUUUAAAAGCACCAUUAAAGUUAAUCUAUAUCUGUGCUCUUACUGCCAUGUGAAUCAUGCUAAAAAUGGACUUACUAGUCUGCAAUUUCACACUAAUGUGUGCUGAUAUCUAUGGAAGACUAGUUUUGUAAGAGUUGUCAAAAUUUAUGGUAGAAACACUCCCAUGUAACACAGAAAAUAAGCUCCCCUUUGGCAUUCCUUGGACUUGUUCUCAGACGCAGCAACCAUAUUCUGUACUCUUACUAUGUAUUAGCAUCUUGAAUGUUAAUGCUAAAGUAUACAUCUGCAUAACAUUUCCAAGAAUUUGUGCUGAAGAAAACUGUCUCAAUAUCUUUCCUCUAGUGAGGGGCCAAAACUGAACACCAGAUUUGAGUUGUGGCCUCAUCAGUGCCAAGUGCAGGGGAAUCACUGCCCUGGUCCUGCUGGCCCCACUGUUGCUGACACAGGCCAGGAUGCCAUUGGCCUCCUUGGCCACCUGGGCACACCCUGGCUCAUGUUCAGCCGCCUGUGGACCAGCACUCCCAGGUCCUUUUCUGCUGGGCAGUUUUCCAUCCACUCUGCCCCAGCCUGUAGCACUGCCUUGUGAUCCAAGUGCAGGACCUGGCAGAGGGCCUUGUUGAACCUCAUAGUGCUGGCCUUGGCCCACCAGAUUGUCCUGUCCAGGUCCUUCUGCAGAGCCUCCAAGUCCUCCAGAAUAUCAACACUCUCAACCAACUCGAUGUCAUGUGUGAAUUUACUGAGGGUGCACCCAAUUCCCUAGUCCAGAUCAUUGAUAAAGAUAUUAAACAGGAUCCAAUACUGAGCCCUUGGAUAUUAAUGAGUUUAUGGAUCCAAUAACUUCAAUACUAAAUACUUCCUAUAUAUAAACUGUAUAAUUAGAUGGAAAAAUUAUUUUUAAAGGCAAUUCUAACAUUUUUUGUAAUUUUUGUCAAUAAAACAAGGACUAGAUUCCUUAAAAUGACCUUAAAUUCAAAAUGGAGCCACUUACUCUUGUUUACCAAUUGGGUUAAUAGGGCACAUUACAUAGAGGGAAGAGGAAGAUAAGAGGUAGUUUUCAACCUUUAAAAAAGAUCUAACAUUAGGGAAACACUAAAGAUAGGGAAAAGUGACAUGGCAAAAUUGUAAAGUAAUACAUAAUAAUUUUUAGUCUUCCAAUGAAAAAUUCCAACCAGUGAUCAUGACAAUAGGUAACUGAAGAAUGAGAUGA